CAAGGUUUCCGUAGGUGAACUGCGGAAGGAUCAUUG
rnacentral:rRNA from 4 species